AGGACGAACGCUGGCGGCGUGCUUAACACAUGCAAGUCGAGCGAGGCCUCCUCUUCGGGGGAGUGUUCUAGCGGCGAACGGGUGAGUAACACGUGGGCAACCUGCCCUCAGCUCUGGGAUAACUCCAAGAAAUUGGGGCUAAUACCGGAUAUGACUGCUGACCGCAUGGUCUGGUGGUGGAAAGAUUUAUCGGCUGGGGAUGGGCCCGCGGCCUAUCAGCUUGUUGGUGGGGUAGUGGCCUACCAAGGCGACGACGGGUAGCCGGCCUGAGAGGGUGACCGGCCACACUGGGACUGAGACACGGCCCAGACUCCUACGGGAGGCAGCAGUGGGGAAUAUUGCGCAAUGGGCGAAAGCCUGACGCAGCGACGCCGCGUGGGGAUGACGGCCUUCGGUUGUAAACCUCUUUCAGCAGGGACGAAGCGAAAGUGACGGUACCUGCAGAAGAAGCACCGGCCAACUACGUGCCAGCAGCCGC
rnacentral:rRNA from 1 species